GAAAAAGAUAAAGAUCUUAUCGUGGAGAAUAUGUUUUCGAUUCUUUCUCAGAUCUUGUUGAAGUUUAUGAAGCUGAAGAUGUGGCUAUGGAGAUCAAAUAUAGUCUCUUCAUGGAUAAGUUCAAGCAAAUUAACCUUAGGUCGAUGGACUCAAAGAAAAGGUGGAAGAAGUUUUAAAAAAACUUUAUUAGCAUCUUGAGCCAAGAGCUACAGUAAGGGAUGCUAUAUUAUUUGAGAGGGGGAGCCACUUGAUAUGAUGACCUUCAUCACAAGGGGCAGUGGACUCACCUAUGCAACUGAUAAUGGUAGAUCAAAUGGUUCUUCAGGUACUAUCCAACUUGAGAAAGAGAAAGGUGGUUUGUAUGGUAAAGAGCUUCUAACUUGGGCAGAAGGGUCUUCUAGCGAAUUGUCUAACUUACCGAUCUCUCCCAUAACGAUCAAGUCUCACAACAAAGUUGAAGUCUUUGCUUUCCAGGCCACCGAUUUACAGCUUGUUGUCUCUAAAUUCCUGAGUCAAUUCAACAUGAAUAUUACUCUCACCAUAGCUGUCGAUAAGGAAAUUAUCCUGUAAAUGCCUUUUUAUGUUUUUAUAUUUAGGAUCUAAGCCAAGUUUUGCUACAUGGCAGGAUGUUUCAAGACCUCAAUGCUAUUUAAGUCGUCCAAAUAAAACUUGAAGGUGUGAAACUCUUUUAACUUUGGCAGUAGAUACAUUAAUGCUCUUACUCACAGAAUAACACUAUAUAUGAAUAGAAAAAAGAAGACAGCUCUCGUCAUCGACUAAAACCCUAAAAGAAGCGUCGACUUCUCCAAUCUCCCUCUCGUCCCGCGGGUGAUGCAAUGGCUCCAAAGCAGCUUCUCUUAGGACGGCGGUACUCGAGAUCUUGGUGGAAGGUUCGGCGGUUUCCAGUGCAACAGAGGUGCUGUAUGGAGAUCGAUUUUGAUCGAUCUUUGGGGUACUGUCUUUGACGGCUUGGAAGAGGUUGGAUCUCGGCCCUUUUGCUUCCAAGACAUGGUGCUGGCUUUUAAUUGAUGUUUCAGUCGGGUAUUCGGGUGACCCCAAGGCGGUGUGCUUAAGGUUUGCUUGGCUUUUCUGUUUUAUUGGGGCUCAUUGGUGGUUGGAAUUGCUCCAUUGAAGGCACCGGAGAUCUGUAGUGGCGCUGGAUCGGCGGUGAUGCUAGGUCAAGGUGGGAUUGCUGUGUGGCAUGGUUAGGUCGAGGCUUGGCUUGGGCCUAUCUGAUGGAUUUGGAGUGGGCCUUUUCUCUUGGGGCUGCUUUUGGACCUUAGAAGUGGGCUAGGGUUUUUGCCCUAGGCUCAUCCCUAUGUUUUUAGUUUUGUCUGAUUACAAUAAAUUCCUUGUAUUUAGGAAGCUAAGCAUCGAUGUGCACUCUAUGUAUCUCUAACGCCUCUAGAGUAUUACCAAAGGAGGGUUUCCGCUACCUCUACGUAUUUGAAUGUAUAAUGAGUAUGUCUAUUUCUAUGUAUCGCUUGUGGGUACUACCA